rnacentral:rRNA from 1 species
AUUGAGCGCUGGCGGCAGGCUUAACACAUGCAAGUCGAGCGGGGUGAUGGUGCUUGCACUAUCACUUAGCGGCGGACGGGUGAGUAAUGCUUAGGAAUCUGCCUAUUAGUGGGGGACAACAUCUCGAAAGGGAUGCUAAUACCGCAUACGUCCUACGGGAGAAAGCAGAGGAUCACUUGUGACCUUGCGCUAAUAGAUGAGCCUAAGUCGGAUUAGCUAGUUGGUGGGGUAAAGGCCUACCAAGGCGACGAUCUGUAGCGGGUCUGAGAGGAUGAUCCGCCACACUGGGACUGAAACACUGCCCAGACUCCUACGGGAGGCAGCAGUGGGGAAUAUUGGACAAUGGGGGGAACCCUGAUCCAGCCAUGCCGCGUGUGUGAAGAAGGCCUUAUGGUUGUAAAGCACUUUAAGCGAGGAGGAGGCUCUUUUGGUUAAUACCCAAGAUGAGUGGACGUUACUCGCAGAAUAAGCACCGGCUAACUCUGUGCCAGCCGCCGCAGUAA